CCUACGGGUGGCAGCAGUGGGGAAUAUUGCACAAUGGGGGAAACCCUGAUGCAGCGACGCCGCGUGAGCGAUGAAGUAUUUCGGUAUGUAAAGCUCUAUCAGCAGGGAAGAAAAUGACGGUACCUGACUAAGACGCCCCGGCUAACUACGUGCCAGCAGCCGCGGUAAUACGUAGGGGGCAAGCGUUAUCCGGAUUUACUGGGUGUAAAGGGAGCGUAGACGGCUUUGCAAGCCAGGUGUGAAAGGAUGGGGCUCAACCCCAGGACGGCAUUUGGAACUGUCAGGCUAGAGUGGCGGAGAGGCAGGCGGAAUUCCUGGUGUAGCGGUGAAAUGCGUAGAUAUUAGGAGGAACACCAGUGGCGAAGGCGGCCUGCUGGACGAUGACUGACGUUGAGGCUCGAAAGCGUGGGGAGCAAACAGGAUUAGAUACCCCUGUAGUC
rnacentral:rRNA from 1 species